AGAUCAAUGAUGAUUCCUUCAUAAUGCAUUCCUUGGAAAAUUUGAACAAAAUGAGUGAGAACUUGUUACUGUCGUUCUCGUCAGAUCUGAGGUCC